rnacentral:rRNA from 1 species
AGGAUGAACGCUGGCGGCGUGCCUAACACAUGCAAGUCGAACGCGCUUGCUAUCCGCGAGGACGGUUAGCGAGUGGCGGACGGGUGAGGAACACGUGGGUGACCUACCUUUCAGUGAGGGAUACCGGCGAGAAAUUGCCGACAAGACCGCAUACGCUUCUCUUUUCAAGGGGAGAAGGAAAGCUUUUCGCAAGAGAGGCGCUGGGAGAUGGGCCUGCGGCCGAUUAGCUAGCUGGUGGGGUAAUGGCCUACCAGGGCGACGAUCGGUAGCUGGUCUGAGAGGACGAUCAGCCACACUGGGAUUGAGAACGGCCCAGACUCCUACGGGGGGCAGCAGUGAGGAAUUUUCGGCAAUGGGGGCAACCCGUGACCGAGCAACGCCGCGUGCAGGACGACGGCCUUCGGGUUGUAAACGUGCUUUUCUCUGGGACGAGCAAGGACGGUACCAGAGGAAGAAGCCCCGGCUAACUACGUGCCAGCAGCCGCGGU